UACGAAGGGUGCAAGCGUUACUCGGAAUUACUGGGCGUAAAGCGUGCGUAGGUGGUUCGUUAAGUCUGAUGUGAAAGCCCUGGGCUCAACCUGGGAAUGGCAUUGGAAACUGGCGACCUAGAGUGCGGGAGAGGGUAGUGGAAUUCCCGGUGUAGUGGUGAAAUGCGUAGAUAUCGGGAGGAACACCAGUGGCGAAGGCGACUACCUGGCCCAUUCUUGACGCUGAGGCGCGAAAGCUAGGGGAGCAAACGGG
rnacentral:rRNA from 1 species